rnacentral:rRNA from 1 species
GACGAACGCUGGCGGCGCGCUUAACACAUGCAAGUCGAACGGAAAGGCCUGCUUUCCCUUGUGGAUUGCGGGUACUCGAGUGGCGAACGGGUGAGUAACACGUGAGUGAUCUGCCCCCAACUUGGGUAUAAGCCUGGGAAACUGGGUCUAAUUCCCGAUAGGACUGCAGGGUGGUGCCGGUGGUGGAACCCGAUUUUCUAGUGGUUGGGGAUGAGCUCGCGGCCUAUCAGCUUGUUGGUGGGGUAAUGGCCUACCAAGGCGGCGACGGGUAGCCGGACUGAGAGGGUGGACGGCCACAUUGGGACUGGGUUACGGCCCAGACUCCUACGGGAGGCAGCAGUGGGGAAUAUGGGAGAAUGGGCGGAAGCCUGCUGCAGCGACGCCGCGUGGGGGAUGACGGCCUUCGGGUGGUAAACUCCUUUCGACCGCGAGGAAGCCACCUGGUUGGAAGGGUGGUGACGGUAGUGGUAGAAGAAGCACCGGCUAACUACGUG